rnacentral:lncRNA from 1 species
AAAUAUCUCAAUUAGCCACCGAAUCAAAUCUAAUAAUAGAAUAAAUAAAUAAAAGCCACCGAUAUUAAGCGCAACGGAUGAAUUCAUCUCCUCUUCUUUUGUAUAUUCUCUCCAAAGCUUUCAACUCUAUUUUGGGGUCAUUUUCUUAAUUUUUUUUAAUUAAACUAUAUAGAAACUGGGGAGAUGUUUUCAGAUAUUUAUUAAUUUUUAUCCUUCACCUUUAAUUUCUUAAGUUUGACAUCAGUUAUUGUUGGCCUCACUCUCACAUGGUUGGUUUGAAGCUUUUCUAUCAUGUAGUUCGGUGAAAAUUAUUUGAUUAAUCGUGACUUGCAGGUAAGAAUUAUAUUAUUAUUUUGUGUUAUGUUUUUAAUUUAUUAGAUUUUAAUUCACAAUUUAUUUGAUAACAAGUGAAAGAGAUGUUAAUUAGGAUAGAUUCAUUUUCUUGUUUAGUAUAUAGGAUUUUCUACUUUAAUUUAAUUGUAUCUUAAUAUUUUUUUUAUUGUUAUCAAGGGAAUUAAGAGCCUAGGAAGAAAAAAUUAUGAUAUUCAACUUUCAUAAGGAUUCAGUUGCUCAAUCCACAUUGAUUCUAUCUUUUAUCAACAGCAAAAUAUCAUUGCAAGAGUGCCAUGUAGCCUUUGGUGUAUUUUAUUUUAUUUAAAUAUUUGUCAUGGAUUCAAUGAUUAAUACGUAUUUAUUUUAUCUUUUAGUAGCAUUAAGUUAUUGUAAUAGCAUCAUGUAGCUUUAAGUCAUUGUAAUGGUGUCUUGUAGCACUUGUACUUUGUUUGAGUUGCACAUGUAUUUGUUGAAAUUAUUUAUAAAAGGAUAUUUGUCGAUUGAUUCAUUGAUUUUUUUCUCCUGAGGCAAUUAAUAAAACCAUUUUCAGCCAUAUAUAUUUGUCUACUAAUUCAUCAUUUUUUUUCCUAGAGGCGAUUAAUAAAAUGAUUAUUUUAACGAUGAAGUAGAAUCAAAUGAAUUUCAAUAAUCAUCUUCUUGGAAAUACUAAGAUUCAAUUAGAACUAAUAUUUAUUCGACUAUAAUUUAUUUUUUCCAACUGUUUUUACCCCUAAAAAAUAGUGUAUUUUUAAUGGUAAUUAGUUAGUUGAAAUUGAUAUUGCAAAUACAACUGCUAUCGAAAAUACUCUUUUUUACUACUUAAGGUGGUCAUAAAUAUCAGUCAUUAGUCACAUGUCCAUAUUAAUUUUCAAUCUAUAUUUAUGUAUUUAUGAUUGUCAAUUUCGCACCAAAUAAGCAUAUUUACGGCGGCCAAUCGGUAAAAGUGUGUUUCUAACCUGGGUAUUAGCGAUUACCAGCGACUGAUUAAGGCCAUUGGAAAAACAUAUUUUCAACAGUAUAGCACUUGUUUCAACUGCAUUCAGCAGUUAUAAAAAGUUAUUUUUCUUGUAGUAUAUUUAUACCGCACAUUUUGACUACCACUAAUUUAAGUUGCCUGAUGAACAUAUUUACCACACAUAAAAACUAAAAUAUCUGAGAUAUUUCUUUAGAUAUUUCUAUAGAUAUUUUAACAUUUUAGAUUACAAUAUUUUUCAACACUUGAUUUAAUCACCAAUCGUUGACUAUGAUGACGACAAAAAAUCUAUUUCAUUGUGCUAACCUCACAAGUGAAAAGGACUCCACAAGAGUACAAAACAGAGCCUUGAUCUAAUAAUAUUACCGAAUAUAGCAUUUUGUUUCCUUAUAAAUGGAGAGAGGUUCUGUCUUUGCACUGCAUAACAGAUAUUAAUGGCUUUACUUAUCGUCAUCAACUUCCUUAUGUGUCUCUCAAUCUUCGUCAUCUUCUUUGUUUUGACAUCAAUUUUGUUGGCCUCACCCUUGGCUGAAAGCUUUUUCUGUCAUGUAGAACGGUGAAAAUUAUUUGAUUAAUUGUGGCUCGUAGGUAAGAAUAAUUAUUGUUUUUUGUGUUCAUGUUUUUAAUUUAUUGGAUUUUAAUUCACAAUUUAUUUUAUAACAACUGAAAGAGAUUUUAUUUAGGAUAGAUUCAUUUUCUUGUUUAGUAUAUAGGAAUUUCUACUUUAAUUUAAUUGUAUCGUAAUUUUUUUUUUAUAUAUAUUGUUAUGCGGUGAAUCAAGAGACCUAGGAAGAAAAAAUUAUGGUAUUCAACUUUCAUAAGGAUUCAAUUGCUCAGUCCAUAUUAAUUCUAUCUUUUAUCAACACCAAAAUAUCAUUGCAAGAGUGCCGUGUAGCUUUUGGUGUAUUAUUUUUUAUUUAAGUAUUUGUCAAAGAUUCAAUGACUAAUACAUAUUUAUUUUAUCUUUUAGCAAUAUUAAGUCAUUGUAGUAGUAUUGUGCAAUAGGGAUGACAAAACCCCGGGCCGGGUCCGGGUAUUGCAAUGACCGGACCCUACCCGGAUGCAACCGGUCCGGGUCCAGGUCUGGGCCGGGUUUUAAUCCGAGUACCCGAAUUUUAUAUUUUUUAAUAUUAUAUGUGUAUAUAUUUUUUAUUUUUUGGUAAUUUUAUAAGUUUUAAAUUUAUUUCAAUAAAAUUUGACAUGAAAAUAUAAACUUUAAGUGUUUAAAACUUUAUAUAUGUAUAAUAAAUUAGUCAAAUAAAUAUAAAUAUUUAAAAUAAUAUAUAUUUUAUAAUAUUUUUGUAAUAAAAUCCGGGUUCUGGGUUUAUCAAGUGAUGUCCAAGACCGACCCGGCUUCAUACCCGGCCCAUAACGCCCGGGUACGGUUCGGGUCCAGACCGGGCGGGUAUUUUUGCCACCUCUAUCUUACAUCUUUAAGUCAUUGUAGUAGUGUGGUGUAGGAUUUGUAUUUUGUUUAAGUUGCACAUGUAUUUGUUGAAAUUAUUUAUAAAAGAAUAUUAUUCCACUAAUCCAUUGAUUUUUCUUUUUUCUAUGGGGCAAUUAAUAAAAUCAAUUUGGGCCAUAUAUUUGUCAAUUAAUUCAUUGAUCAUUUUCCUAGGGGUCCAGCUACCUUGCGUCAUGGGUUUGGUACCGCAGUUGUUUGUCUCUUAGCGAAUGACCCUUUAGAUUGUACUGAAUGCAUUCUGCACUAUGGUCCAAUAAUUCUCUUUCAAAUACACUUAGGUCCCCAAAUCAAUAGCUCAAUUCUUCACAUUCAAUUUAAAGCUUUUUUUAACUUCAUUAUCAUUUAUUUAUCAAACAUCACAUACCUGAUGCAGAUCCACCAGGUGUUGAGUUUCUACCAGCAUUCACUCUUGAGCUUGAUGUUGUUUCCAAGUUCUUGCAACGCUUCUGCUUGGCACAGAGAAGUAAAUUUUGUAAGUAAGUACACUCAAUCAAAUACUUCAUACUUAACAUUGAUUGCAUAUAUUAAAAAAAAUGUUAGAUGAUUAGUAAUUAACAUUUAAUUAUAGUUGAAAUAUUGUUUAUUAAAUUAGUCUAAUUGUCUAAGAACGGUCAUACAAUUAAUUUCAACAUAUAAAAAAACUAUUGCAAUAAUUUAUUUAUAUUUUGAAACAUAGCUCAACUAUGAAUUAUUAAAACUAAUAUAGCUUCACAGUUUUUGCAUCAAUAUCUCUUUUCAUCUUUCGCUUAUCUUAUCAAUUUAAAUUUAAAAUCUAUGUUAAAGAUGUUCUGUCAAUCAAUUUAGGCUAGAGAUUAAUUAAACAAUCUAGUAAGCACAUAAUAGGUAUUAUUAUUAAUUGUUCAAUUAUAAUAAACUUUCAAAUUGCAUUAAUGUGAUAAGAAGUUAUAUUUUGCAAUUAAUCGAAUCAUAUGCUAAUAAUUUGCAAUAUUUAUCAGUAUGAAAUAACUAACUUAGAAUAAAUUAAUUAAUUGAUUGAUUUUUUCUUAAAUUUGAAUAUCUUGUAUUAUCUCUAGUAACUGUUUGGUCCACUUAAUUACUAAAAUCCCACCUAACUAAAGUUUUUUGUGCAAAUGUAUAUUUACCGUAACCCACGUUCUCCAUGCUCUCUAACAAAUCUCUCAAUUAGCCACCGAAUCAUAUCCAUUAAUAGAAUAAAAAUAAAAGCCACCGAUAUUAAGCACAAUGGAUGAAUUCAUCUCUACUUCUUUUGUAUAUUCUCUCUAAAGCUUCAAACUCUAUUUUAGGGUUAUUUUCUUAAUUCUUUUGAAUCAAGCUAUAUAGAAUCUGGGGAGAUGUUUUCAAAUAUUUAUUGAAACGACCCGCCCCGAAUCAACCCAGACGAGUUUAUCUAGUCUCAUCAAAACGGACUUGAUAAUAAUUUUAUUCGUAAAGAUUCUGCCGAAAAUUCGGCAGAGUCUCCUUUAUAUAUAUAACACUCCCAAUCUACAAAUAUGAAUAUAACACUCUCAAUACAAGUCAAUAUACAACAAACUCUAGUGCUCAACAUCCUCAACCAAAAUGCUGAGUUUUAUAUCUCCAGAGUCUCAAAAGAUAAUAUUAUAACUAAUAUUAAUAUCUCAAUUUAUUCUUAAUCCCAAAAAGAAUAAUAUAACAAAAGUAUACAAUCCCAAAAGAACAAGAUGACCAAGAUAUCCUAACAAAAACAUUUAUAUCUUCUAACACCAUCACGUGACCAAGACUCAAAAUAUAUUUACAGUCGCUGGGUCGGUCUGGUGUACCUGCAACCUCCUGGUGAGGGGGGAAAAAUAUAAUAAAAACGGGAUGAGUCUAAAACUCAGUGAGAUCAGUGAGUGGAUAGUAGUUUUGAAAAUUAAUUCUUACUUUAAAAGAAAUAAUCAUAUCAUUUCCAAACAUGAUUGCACUAAACCAUAAGCGAGAAACCAGAAAUAAAUAAUUAAACAUUUAAAUCAGAUUACUAACCAUGGAAAUCAUAUCACAAUAUCAUAUAGAAUUCACAAAUCUGAAAAUCAUCACCAAACAAGUACCCAGGGAAAUAAUCUCGUCAUAUCCGGACCUCAACGGACGAGCAAUGACGUACUAUCUGGGUAACGUCACGCCCCGGAGCUACACGGAUAGACAGGGAAAUACCAUCUCAUAUCUCAUCAUAUCCGUGCAUGCAUAAUCUAGUCCCCAAAUGACAAAAACACCCAAGCACAUGGCCCAAAGCCUAUGUGUGUACUCAGACGGGCCCCAAAGGCCUGUAUCUCAUCUGUAUCAUUUGUAUCUCAAUAUCUGUUUGUAUCUUAUAUCUGUAUCUCUGUAAUCAUCAUACCGCAUGCAUAUGCCCCCAAAAGGCAAAAACGCCCAAACACAUGGCCCAAAGCCUCUAUGUGUGUUCAGACGGGCCCCAAAGGCCUCUCAUCUCAUAUCACCUGUAUUACUGUAUCUGGAGGAGAAGGAUACUGUCUAAUGAUUUCAAAAACAAUCAUUAUACUCAUAUUCACAUACCUUUUAAUCAUACUUUAAAUCAUACCACAUUCAAAUCCACUUUUCUUAUCUUUAAAAUAUUAUCAUGCUUUAUUCAAAGUCGAUACGCAAAAUCAAUAACCAAACAUUUUAAUAAAAUACCAAUGCGUGAAUAAAAAUCCAUUUCGAGGAAAUCAUUAAAUCAGAACAUUUAAAAUACUUAUUUCACAAACAUGCAUUACUAUCAUAAUUAACUAUGAAAAUAGGUUUUGUAUAUUCCACUCACAGUGACGGUGUUCACGGUCGGUUAUCGUCCACGUCCGCGGACCGGUUCUCGCUCGCGGAUCCUCCUAAAUCAAGGAAACGACAUAAUUAUUUUCCGUAAAUCGGAAUUACGGCUAAAUUUAUGCAAUAAACUCGAAACGAACAUCUAUCCAUAAUUGACAACUCCCGUGUCCAUAAAAUUACUAAAAUGCCCUUGAGUCCGUAAAUCAUUAACACAUACUCUGAAAUUGUACAACACCGAAUUACCCUCGGAAUCGUAAUUACACCCACUCCUCAAUUCUAGGAAUUACUAAAAUAUCCACAGGCUCAGAAAUUACAAAAUUGCUCUCAUAGUGUGAAAUUACCAAAAUGCCCUUGCCGGUCAACGGUCACAGGAAUUUGGUCAACGCUGGUUAGGAAGCUCAAAUCUGAAAGUUCAAAUCACGCUGAGUUCAAUGGUACCGGCGGUGAGCUCCAUGCGCGGCAACGGCGCCGGAAUCGAGCUCGACAGCCGUGAAUUCCAACAAUCGACCGGCGGCAAAAUAGUGACUCUCGGUGCCUAUGGAUGGUCGGAAAUGGAAGAGGGAGUCGUGGGGAACAAGAUCCAACCGGUGGUGUCACCCAAAACCGGCGAAAAUCCCGGCGGAGUAAAGUGAAACAAUCGCGGGUUCAAGCUUCAAUUGCCGGCGUUCCGGUUGGUUUUCGGCGGCGAGGAUGGCACGGGAACGACGGUCGGCUUCUAAGCUUCAGAUUGGUACCAAGCUCGGCUGAAACGGUGGCCGGAAAUGGGAGAUAUGGUCGGGUCAAGGUCGCCGGUUCCGGGUCGAGUUUUCGGGUCCGUAGUUGGAUCGGUUUGGCAGUUUCCCUUCACUCUCUCUCACACGUGCAUGUUUUUACCCUGUUUCCAGCUUAUUCUUUUACUUAUAAACUCCUUAACCGCCUCAUUUUCAUUUUGAAAUUCACAUAUGUUACAUUUAUUACCUUUUGUCCUUCACCUUUAAUUUCUUAAGUUUGACAUCAGUUUUGUUGGCCUCACCCUUGGCUGAAAGCUUUUUCCGUCACGUAGAUCGGUGAAAAUGAUUUGAUUAAUUGUGGCUCGUAGGUAAGAAUAAUUGAUGGUUGUCGAAGUCAGUAAAAAUAAAUACUUACUCUAAAUAAAUUGUGUAUAGUGAUUGAGCAGGGUCGUGUCCACAGAGAUCGGUAAUAUUUAAAUCUUUUUUAAAAUGUAAAUUGCAAAAUGGGGGGAUUGUUGAUAAUAAUAAAAAUCAAAUUAAAAUUGGGAAAAGCUUUAGUUGAAGGAAUUAACUCAGCUUGAUUCGACUACUGAUCAUUAAUUCAAAUAUAAAUCAUUACUACUUAUGAAUAGACCGGUUAUAGCUACUGAGACCCUCUAAUAGCUAAUCUCUCAUUAACUAGUCGAUAACCAAGGUACGACCAUUGGUUAUUUCCCUAAUCAAUAGAUAACCCUAGAUACGAUCAUAAAAUUUAAUCAAUUGACAGCCUGAAAAAUCAGAGAGACCCAAAUCCUAAUCAACAAACGCAUACGAUGGUUCAUUUAAAUUAGAUUGUUUAUUCUCAUAACACAACGCACUACUAUGCUAUUUGUCACAAAUAUUAAAAUCUUCAUACGAUGAAUCCUUUAAUUGACAAUAGAUUAAGUUGAUAAUUAAAUAGUGGCCAAUUAUCUAAUUAACAAACAUAAUCAUGACAAUAAUUUAGAGAAUAAACAAAUACCCAAAAAGUAAUAAAAUAAUUAAAGCAUAAGAAAGAUCUCACAGUAAUGAUGAAUCAAAGCUUCAUUAAUCUUCAACCAGAAUAAUAGGUUUAGUUAUUCACAGAGAAAAGAGAAAAAUUUAGAUCUAGGGUUUUUUUUUUACAAUAGAUUCCCCCCUUUAAUUCUCUCUCCCCUCUUCUCCUCUAGAGUUCUUUUUAAAAUAAAAUACUAAUAUCUAUUAUCUAAAUAUUAAAUUCGGAAUUACAAAAAUAACCAAAAAGAUAAAACACGUUAAACUAAUAACUGCAGAUCCGUAGUUGACAAUACGCGUCCACGCCUUAUCAACAAAGUUCUUCUGAAGCUCAUAAUUUCUCCAGGAAAACAAUCAUCCUAAAAAAUCAUCUUGUAGCUCAACUUUAUUACCAAUCAAUAGAAUUACACCUACAGAAAUAAAACACAAGUAAAUCACUAUUAUUAAGUGCAAAACAUCGAUAUUAAAGAAAGUAAACAAUGCAAAACUAGAGCAUAAAUUGCACUCUAACAAUAAUUAUUGUUUUUUUGUGUUCAUGUUUUUAAUUUAUUGGAUUUAGUUCACAAUUUAUUUUACAACAACUGAAAUAGAUGUUAAUUAGGAUAGAUUCAUUUUCUUGUUUAGUAUAUAGAAUUUUCUACUUUAAUUUAAUUGUAUCUUAAUUUUUUUUUUUGUUUAUAUAUUGUUAUGCAGUGAAUCAAGAGACCUAGGAAGAAAAAAUUAUGGUAUUCAACUUUCAUAAGGAUUCAAUUGCUCAGUCCACAUUAAUUCUAUCUUUUGUCAACACCAAAAUAUCAUUGGAAAGAGUGCCGCGUAGCUUUUGGUGUAUUAUCUUUUAUUUAAUUUUUUGUCAAGGAUUCAAUGACUAAUACAUAUUUAUUUUAUCUUUUAGCAACAUUAAGUCAUUGUAGUAGCAUCAUGCGGCUUUAAGUCAUUGUAGUAGUGUCGUGUAGGAUUUGUAUUUUGUUUAAGUUGCACAUGUGUUUGUUGAAAUUAUUUAUAAAAGAAUAUUAUUCCACUAAUCCAUUGAUUUUUCUUUUUUCCAUGGGGCAAUUAAUAAAAUCAAUUUGGGCCAUAUAUUUGUCAAUUAAUUCACUGAUCAUUUUCCUAGAGGGGAUUAAUAAAAUGAUAAUUUUAACGAUGAAGUAGAAUAAAAUGAGUUUCAAUAAUCAUUUUCUUCGAAAUACUAAAAUUUAAUUAGAAAUAUAAAUUUUUUCAAACUAAAAUAACAUAUUUUCAAUUGCAUAACCAAUUAGAACUAAUAUUUUUCCGAUUUUUUUUCAUCUGUUUUUACCCCUAGAAAAUAGUGUAUUUUUAAGAGUAAUCAGUUAGUUGAAAUUGAUAUUGCAAAUACAACCGCAAUCGAGAAUUCUCUCCUUUACUAC